UCCUCUCAGACCCAGUCCAGAUCCGAGAGCUGCACGCUCUCAUUGACAUCGUUGGAAAGAAACACUGUGAGCUACAAAGAAACACUGUGACCUACAAAGAAACACUUGGAAGAAUGUGUUAAUUCAGUUGCCUUUGGACGCCAUGGCAAGGUCCCCAAGGGGAAGCGAGUCCUCGACCGGAAGGCCAGCGGAAUUCCAAUGAGAUUCACCUGGAGCCUCAUCAGAGAGUGGUGACUCUGAAGAGACACAAGCUGAUUGACCCUGUGGAGAACAGGAUGUGUAAGAAGCACAAAAGACUCCUGGAGCUGUUCUGUAGGAGUGACCAGAACUGUGUGUAUGUUUUGUGUGCUGAGACAGGCCACAAGUGUCACAAUACUGUGCCCAUUGAGGAGGGAGUCAAACAAAAAGGUAAGAAAUGUAUUAGAUUUAUUCAAUCAUUAUUUUCUAGAUCUCUCCUUAAAGAAAAACU